rnacentral:rRNA from 1 species
UGGGGAAUAUUGCACAAUGGGGGAAACCCUGAUGCAGCAACGCCGCGUGAAGGAUGAAGGUUUUCGGAUUGUAAACUUCUUUUGUAGAGGACGAACACAAUGACGGUACUCUAAGAAUAAGCCACGGCUAACUACGUGCCAGCAGCCGCGGUAAUACGUAGGUGGCGAGCGUUAUCCGGAUUUACUGGGUGUAAAGGGCGAGUAGGCGGGUUUGCAAGUCAGAUGUGAAAUACCGGGGCUCAACUCCGGGGCUGCAUUUGAAACUGUAAAUCUUGAGUGAUGGAGAGGCAGGCGGAAUUCCCGGUGUAGCGGUGGAAUGCGUAGAUAUCGGGAGGAACACCAGUGGCGAAGGCGGCCUGCUGGACAUUAACUGACGCUGAGGAGCGAAAGCGUGGGGAGCAAACA